rnacentral:rRNA from 1 species
GACUGUAGCAAUACAGUUGCUGGCGACCGGCAAACGGGUGCGGAACACGUACGCAACUUACCCAAAACUGGGGAAUAGCCCGGGGAAACCCGGAUUAAUACCUCGUAAGAUAAUGGAGUGGCAUCACUUUAUUAUUAUAGCUCCGGCGGUUUUGGAUGGGCGUGCGCCUGAUUAGGUAGUUGGCGGGGUAACGGCCCACCAAGCCUACGAUCAGUAACUGGUGUGAGAGCACGACCAGUCACACGGGCACUGAGACACGGGCCCGACUCCUACGGGAGGCAGCAGUAAGGAAUAUUGGUCAAUGGACGCAAGUCUGAACCAGCCAUGCCGCGUGAAGGAUGAAGGUCCUCUGGAUUGUAAACUUCUUUUAUAUGGGAAGAAAUCCACUUUUUCUUGAGUGGUUGACGGUACCAUAGGAAUAAGCACCGGCUAACUCCGUGCCAGCAGCCGCGGUAAUACGGAGGGUGCAAGCGUUAUCCGGAUUCACUGGGUUUAAAGGGUGCGUAGGAGGGCAGGUAAGUCAGUGGUGAAAUCUCCAAGCUUAACUUGGAAACUGCCGUUGAUACUAUCUGUCUUGAAUACCGUGGAGGUGAGCGGAAUAUGUCAUGUAGCGGUGAAAUGCUUAGAUAUGACAUAGAACACCAAUUGCGAAGGCAGCUCGCUACACGAAUAUUGACUCUGAGGCACGAAAGCGUGGGGAUCAAACAGGAUUAGAUACCCUGGUAGUCCACGCCCUAAACGAUGGAUACUCGACAUACGCGAUACACAGUGUGUGUCUGAGCGAAAGCAUUAAGUAUCCCACCUGGGAAGUACGACCGCAAGGUUGAA